GACAUGCUGAAAAAUGCUCCUAUGUUAAAAAGUAUGAAGAACAAAAAUCAGGCCGCUGGUGCAGGUCGAGGAAAAGCAGCUAUUCUCAAAGCCCAAGUGGCUGCCAGAGGCCGUGGCCGGGGUGGACCAGGCCGAGGGAACGUGUUCCAGAAAAGGCGCUAGUUUUGUGGCAAACUUUUUUCUUUCCUUAAUUUUGUUAUGAUUUAUUUUAUAAUGUUCAUUUUAUGCUUUGGGAAAUAAAUGGGUGAUUUUGCUAUUUUUUUUUCCUGA